rnacentral:rRNA from 1 species
AUACGGAGGGUGCGAGCGUUAAUCGGAAUUACUGGGCGUAAAGCGUACGUAGGCGGUUGGUUAAGUUAGAUGUGAAAGCCCCGGGCUUAACCUGGGAACUGCAUUUAAAACUGGCGAACUAGAGUUGAGUAGAGGGGAGUGGAAUUUCAGGUGUAGCGGUGAAACGCGUAGAGAUCUGAAGGAACACCAGUGGCGAAGGCGACUCCCUGGACUCGAACUGACGCUGAGGUACGAAAGCGUGGGUAGCAAACGGGAUUAGAUACCCCAGUAGUCC